AUUGAACGCUGGCGGCAGGCCUAACACAUGCAAGUCGAACGGUAGCACAGAGAGCUUGCUCUUGGGUGACGAGUGGCGGACGGGUGAGUAAUGUCUGGGAAACUGCCCGAUGGAGGGGGAUAACUACUGGAAACGGUAGCUAAUACCGCAUAACGUCGCAAGACCAAAGUGGGGGACCUUCGGGCCUCACACCAUCGGAUGUGCCCAGAUGGGAUUAGCUAGUAGGUGGGGUAAUGGCUCACCUAGGCGACGAUCCCUAGCUGGUCUGAGAGGAUGACCAGCCACACUGGAACUGAGACACGGUCCAGACUCCUACGGGAGGCAGCAGUGGGGAAUAUUGCACAAUGGGCGCAAGCCUGAUGCAGCCAUGCCGCGUGUAUGAAGAAGGCCUUCGGGUUGUAAAGUACUUUCAGCGAGGAGGAAGGCAUUGUGGUUAAUAACCGCAGUGAUUGACGUUACUCGCAGAAGAAGCACCG
rnacentral:rRNA from 1 species